rnacentral:rRNA from 1 species
AUACGGAGGGUGCGAGCGUUAAUCGGAAUUACUGGGCGUAAAGCGUACGUAGGCGGUUCGCUAAGUCAGAUGUGAAAGCCCCGGGCUUAACCUGGGAACUGCAUUUGAUACUGGCAGACUAGAGUAUGAUAGAGGGGGGUAGAAUUCCUGGUGUAGCGGUGAAAUGCGUAGAUAUCAGGAGGAAUACCCGUGGCGAAGGCGGCCCCCUGGAUCAAUACUGACGCUGAGGUACGAAAGCGUGGGGAGCGAACAGGAUUAGAUACCCUAGUAGUCC